UGUUGCACAAUGAUCUUGGCAAUAUGCCGAUGUCAUUUGAUGCUGGGAAUGCCAGACUUGAAAUUGCAGCGUUGCUGUUCAAAAACAAGCAACUGAAGCAGAUUGGAAAGGGAAGUUCAAAGUCAGAUGAAUGAACUCCUGUUGAUGGCAUUAUUUUCAUGAUGGAUUAGAUUGAUAGCUGUUCAAAAUUAGACAAACAGAUAUUUUUAUGAUGUAGUUGAUAGAUGUUAUCUUUGUAAUAUGUUUUGGAAUUGAAUUUGAAUUUGUUUUUGUCAAUUGGUACAAG
rnacentral:lncRNA from 1 species